ACGGGAGGCAGCAGUAGGGAAUAUUGGGCAAUGGAGGCAACUCUGACCCAGCCAUGCCGCGUGAAGGAAGACGGCCCUAUGGGUUGUAAACUUCUUUUAUCGUAGAGUAAACCUGCCCACGUGUGGGCAGUUGAGAGUAUACGAGGAAUAAGUAUCGGCUAACUCCGUGCCAGCAGCCGCGGUAAUACGGGGGAUACGAGCGUUAUCCGGAUUUAUUGGGUUUAAAGGGUGCGCAGGCGGGCUGCUAAGUCUCCGGUGAAAUGUCAGGGCUCAACCUUGGCACUGCCGGAGAUACUGGCGGCCUUGAGAGUGGCGGAGGUAUCCGGAAUGUGUGGUGUAGCGGUGAAAUGCAUAGAUAUCACACAGAACACCGAUUGCGAAGGCAGGAUACCAUACCAUAUCUGACGCUCAGGCACGAAAGCGUGGGGAUCGAACAGGAUUAGAUACCCUGGUA
rnacentral:rRNA from 1 species